AAAGGCUUAGGUUCAACCUAGACCAAAGGCCUUCAAAGCCUUAAGCAGGUGUUUAACCACCUAGCCUUUG
rnacentral:tRNA from 1 species